GCUUGGUUCUGCAUGCUACUUCCAUAUCCUGAAGUCAGAGCAUGCAUUUGCUGGGUCCAACGGGAAGUUUGGUUUCUCUCUCUGGAAGGUGUUCUGCACCAGGAGGUGCCUCCACCCACAGUUUUCCAGAUGGACUCAUUGAAUUUCCUCAUUUACAACACCUCUGAUGUGAUUACCACCAGCAGGAACAGCGGCAAGCGACACAGACAAGGGCCUGCUCAUCAAUCAAGGCCUGGAGUUAGGUGUUUGCUCCCCAUCCCUGGUCACAUGCUCUGCUCUCCGGAUGCCACUGGAACUCAGGAGCCAGAGCAAGUGAGGCUGAGGUCCAAGUCCUAUGAUGGGCAGGUAGAGAUGAACCAUAUUUCCAGCUUGUCCCCUGUCCUGGGGUUAGUUGGACCAGGCUGUGCUCUCUGCCCUCCCCAAGAGUGGGCCUCCCAAGCUUGCCCUUGGCCCGCAGAGCUUCCAGAAUCAAGCCGAAUCCAGCUGGAUUGGACAGCAGCUCUAUUCCUCCAGUUUUGUGACUUUGAACAGGCCAUUUAACCCAGGGGCUAGCCGUCAUUUCCUACCAAGCGCUAGAAAGGAAAUAUUUCAGGGGUUUGUGGCCACCAUCCCUGUCGCAGCUAUUCAGUUCUGCUCGUGCAGCAAGAAACCCAUAAAUGAUACCCAAACUAAUGGGUAUGGCUGUGUACCAAUAAAACUUUAUUUAUACAAACAGGAA
rnacentral:lncRNA from 1 species